rnacentral:rRNA from 1 species
GUGCAGCAGGCGAGAAUUUUUCUCAAUGGGGGCAACCCUGAAGGAGCGACGCCGCGUGGAGGAUGAAGGCUUUCGGGUUGUAAACUCCUGUCAUUUGGGAACAAGUUGGACGCAGUAACUACGCGUCCAUUGAUAGUACCAGAAGAGGAAGGGACGGCUAACUCUGUGCCAGCAGCCGCGGUAAUACAGAGGUCCCAAGCGUUGUUCGGAUUCAUUGGGCGUAAAGGGUGCGUAGGUGGCGCCGUAAGUGGGGUGUGAAAUUUCGGAGCUUAACUCCGAAACUGCAUUCCAUACUGCGGUGCUUGAGGACUGGAGAGGAGACUGGAAUUCAUGGUGUAGCAGUGAAAUGCGUAGAGAUCAUGAGGAAGACCAGUGGCGAAGGCGGGUCUCUGGACAGUUCCUGACACUGAGGCACGAAGGCCAGGGGAGCAAACGGGAUUAGAUACCCGGGUAGU